rnacentral:sRNA from 1 species
CGCAGGUCUAACUUUGGCCCCGGACUCUGCCCCUCGACCCCAGCACAGAAUCGCCCUGGGUCCUACUACAGAAUCAAUCUUUGAACACUGCCUCCACGUCGCCGGCUCAAUCUGGGCCAGAACCCAGACUUCCACCGCAGCCCCGCAAUCUGCAGACCUCAGUGGCAGCGCAGGUGGCAGACCUUCCUCCUUUGCCUGUGAGUCAUGGCAGCUCCCAUGAAUGGCCAAGUGUGUGUGGUGACUGGUGCCUCCAGGGGUAUUGGCCGUGGCAUUGCCUUGCAGCUCUGCAAAGCAGGUGCCACAGUUUACAUCACUGGCCGCCAUCUGGACACCCUUCGCGUUGUUGCUCAGGAGGCACAAUCCCUCGGGGGCCGAUGUGUGCCUGUGGUGUGCGAUUCAAGCCAGGAGAGUGAAGUGCGAAGCCUGUUUGAGCAAGUGGAUCGGGAACAGCAAGGGCGUCUAGAUGUGCUGGUCAACAACGCUUAUGCAGGGGUCCAGACGAUCCUGAACACCAGGAAUAAGGCAUUCUGGGAAACCCCUGCCUCCAUGUGGGAUGAUAUCAACAACGUCGGACUCAGAGGCCACUACUUUUGCUCAGUGUAUGGGGCACGGCUGAUGGUACCAGCUGGCCGGGGGCUCAUCGUGGUCAUCUCCUCCCCAGGAAGCCUGCAGUAUAUGUUCAACGUCCCCUAUGGUGUGGGCAAAGCUGCGGUGAGGACCCAGUGGCAUAGGAGCUGAGGAGGUAAAAGACAGUGAUGGUACCUAUAGCUCAGGAGGUACAGUCCCCAGUGGUCAGAAUGGUAAGGCUGGCUCCUCUCAGCUCCUCCUCUGCCUCAUCCAUGGACAGUUCCUUUGCUUGUGCUCCUCUCGGUUGGCUAGAGUAGGCAUCACAAUGGGGAGGGUGGACAGCUGAGACCUUGGGGCUCCUGGGAAGGGCAGGGUGGGUGGAGCAUUCACAGUAGAAGCAGAGAGGGCAGGGCAGGAAGGUGACACGGCUAGGUGGCUCUUACCCUGCCUUCCGCCUCUCCACAGUGUGACAAGCUGGCUGCUGACUGUGCCCACGAGCUGCGGCGCCAUGGGGUCAGCUAUGUGUCUCUGUGGCCAGGGAUUGUGCAGACAGAACUGCUGAAGGAGCAUAUGGCAAAGGAGGAGGUCCUGCAGGAUCCUGUGUUUAAGCAGUUCAAAUCAGCCUUCUCAUCUGCGGAAACCACCGAAUUGAGUGGCAAAUGUGUGGUGGCUUUGGCAACAGGUGAAAUUUGGGGGCAGCUAGUAAUAAGAAAGGGCAUGGAGGAUGUGUAGGGCAGUAGCAUCCAGUGCCCAGAUCUGGCUCGGGAGUUGAUUGAGGAAUAUGUCAUUCUUUUCUCUGCUUUUUGAGGCCCAAGGGGUCAGCAUUCCCAGUUUGAGGUCUGAGAGCCUUAGGAGCAGGCUCCUGGGAAGUGUGGAAAAAGUCCAAGGCCCAAGAGCCUUCCUAGGAACAGAAAGAAAGAGUUCUCCAGGGCUCCUGAGUGUGUCUCAGCAGUGCCCUGUCCAACUGGGCCCAAACCUUGUCACUCUGCAUACUCCCCUGCCUGCCAUCUCCACCUGUCUGUGUGCCCGCAGAUCCCAAUAUCCUGAGCCUGAGUGGUAAGGUGCUGCCAUCCUGUGACCUUGCUCGACGCUAUGGCCUCCGGGAUGUGGACGGUCGCCCCGUCCAAGACUAUUUGUCUUUGAGCUCUGUUCUCUCACACGUGUCUGGCCUGGACUGGCUGGCCUCCUACUUGCCCUCCUUCCUCCGUGUGCCCAAGUGGAUUAUUGCCCUCUACACUAGCAAGUUCUAACCCUCCUGGUCUCACAACACGUCUCUGCUUGUCUUCUCAUUUGGGCUUGGUGGUUGGUCCUAUCUCAAUGAAACAGCAGCCUUUCUUGCUUACCCAUACCCUUGAUAUGAAGAGAAGGCCUCUGCUGUGUGUCUGUGGUGAGUUCUGGGGUGCGCCUAGUUCCUUUCUUUAUGCCUUGGUUUUCCUUGUCCUUCUUUUUACUUUUUGCCUUAGUAUUGAAAAA